AACGAACGCUGGCGGCAGGCUUAACACAUGCAAGUCGAACGCAUCCUUCGGGGUGAGUGGCAGACGGGUGAGUAACGCGUGGGAACGUGCCCUUCAGUUCGGGAUAACCCAGGGAAACUUGGGCUAUACCGGAUACGUGCGAGAGCAGAAAGAUUUAUCGCUGAAGGAUCGGCCCGCGUCUGAUUAGCUAGUUGGUGGGGUAAUGGCCCACCAAGGCGACGAUCAGUAGCUGGUCUGAGAGGAUGAUCGGCCACAUUGGGACUGAGACACGGCCCAAACUCCUACGGGAGGCAGCAGUGGGGAAUAUUGGACAAUGGGCGCAAGCCUGAUCCAGCCAUGCCGCGUGAGUGAUGAAGGCCUUAGGGUUGUAAAGCUCUUUCGUUCGGGACGAUAAUGACGGUACCGGAAGAAGAAGCCCCGGCUAACUUCGUGCCAGCCGCCGCCGUAA
rnacentral:rRNA from 1 species